GGUCCAACCUGAGGAUGGCGCGCCCUGGCCCAGCUCUUCAGCGCCCGGGGCACAGCAGGGCCUCCACCACCCCGCCAGGAAAAGGGCCGCGGGAGUAGCCGGGGCUUUUCUGCAGAGGAGCAGGGCCUGAAGGUGGGCCCGGUGGGAAGCUCGGCGCAGGCUGCCGGGCACCGGGAGGCAGGUCUUGCCUGGUGGGCGGGCCGUUCCUCUGCCGGCUGCCCCGCGCGCCGCUCACCCGUCCCACACGUCCCAGCUGACGCGCUCGUAUUGCGGAUGAAGAAAUCGCGACUCCGGUCGGCUAAAGGACUUCCCGAGAGCCAGAGGGUAAGCAGAAAAGGCCGGAGGCAGGACUCCCACUCGGCUCUGCUUCCACACCUGCAUGCUCCCCCGCCCGUCUCUCCGGGAGGCUCGGACCUCGACCCGAGCGCGCCGCCGGGACCCGACGCUGCGAACCUCUCGCCACCUCUGGCCGCCCUAGAACACUCCCCUGCCAAAUCUUCAACCCGCCGGGAGAACCCGAUUCCACCUGCAUCUCAGAACUUGCUGCGGCGCGAUCGGAUCGGGGCUUGUCCAAGUACCGCGGCGCGCGCGCUGCACCCCGGCUCGGGCACGUGGGGGUCAGCCCGCCGGGUGGCCGGAGGCGGCGACGCGGGGUCGGAGGAGCCGCGCGGAAGGAGCGGGGCAUUGCGGGGGCCUCGGGCACACCGCGGCGCCCGCGUCCCCGCGCCCUACCGGCCUCCCCGGGCACCUGGCCGCUCAGGUCUCCCGCCCCGGCCCGAGCGCGCUCCGCGGGGACCCCGCCUACCUUUUCGGAAGGGCAUCGCGGAGAAGUGCUCCCGGGACGCUGAGGCUGAGCGACGGCCGAGUGCCAGCCCCGUGGCUCGGGGGCGCCUGCGGGCGCCGGGUGUCGGGCGAGGGAGGGGAAAGGGACAUAUUUGGGCAAAGGCCGGCGCGUCACCGGCAGAGGGAGGAACCGCGGCGGAGCGGGAAGCGCGGCCCCAGGGCGGGCCUCGCGGAAACCGUUUAACCCUUGCGCUCCCGGUCGGCCGGCCGUCGCCGGCAAUCUCCCGGCUACUGCUGGGGUCCGGGCCCCGAGCUCCCUGA
rnacentral:lncRNA from 1 species